rnacentral:lncRNA from 1 species
UCAUUCAUGGAUUAGUGGAUUAAUGAGUUACCAUGGGAGUGGGUCUGGUGGCUUUAUAAGAGGAGGAAGAGAGACCUGAGCUAGCAUGCUCAGCCCCCUCACCCCCUGUGCUACCUUGGGACUCUGCAGAGUCCUCGACAGUAAGAAGGCUCUCACCUGUUAUGCCCCUGGACCUUGGACUUCUCAGCCUCCAUAACUGGUGCCUGUGCAGCAGUAUUCACUGUGAUAGGAAGUGAGAAGCAGUCUGAGUGUUCAUUGCUGAGGGAAUCAAGGGCAAAAUAUCAUGGAUGCACUCAUGGACAAAUAAGCAGCAGUUUGAAGCAACAACCUAGAUGGAUGUACAGCCAUCAAGAGGAUCUUAAAGUGUGGUCUUUAGUGGAAAAAAAGCAGAAGCAAUGUAUGGGAGACUGAGUAAUUACAUAUAAGCUCACAUCACUAUCUCUUCCACCACUGUCAUCCAUCAUGACUGAUCUGGGAGAUGAAACAGCACAGAUCUAAAGGACGUGGCUGGAGUGCAAUGGCAUGGUAUCGGCUCACUGCAACCUCUGUCUCCUGGGUUCAAGCGAUUUUUCUGCCUCAGCCUCCCAAGUAGCUGGGAUUACAGGCAUGCGUCAUCAUACCUAGCUAAUUUGUCCCAUAGAAUCUCAUCUUCUGGAUUUUGUGGCUAUUUUUUCAUGGUGUUGAUUCAUUCAUAAGGUAAAAUUUAUAUACAGUGAAAUGCAUCUUAUGGGUACAAUUCAAUGAGUUUUGAAAAGUGUGUACAUCCAUGUAACCACCACCCAGAUUAAGACACAGAACAUUCCCGUCACCUCAGAAUGUUUCCCGGUGCCUUCUUCCUACCCCUCAUACAGUAACAUUGUAAUAAUUUCUAUUGCCACAUAUAUGUUUACCUGUUCUGAAACUUCACAGAAAUGGAAUUAUAUAUUAUGUAUUUGUUUGUUACUGGCUUUUUAUCAUUUAAUAUUUUUUUAUUCAUCCAUACCCACUGCAUGUGUCAGUAUUUCAUUCCUUCUUGUUAUUGUGUAGUAUACAAAUAUAUAAAUAUAUCACAAUUUAUUUUUGCAA